UACAGAGGGUGCGAGCGUUGUCCGGAAUUAUUGGGCGUAAAGAGCGCGUAGGCGGUCCGAUAAGUCGGCUGUGAAAGUCAGGGGCUCAACCCUUGAAAGCCGGCCGAUACUGUCGGACUAGAGUCGGAAGAGGCAAGUGGAAUUCCCGGUGUAGCGGUGAAAUGCGCAGAUAGUCGGAGAACACCAAUGGCGAAGGCAGCUCUCUGGGACGGUACUGACGCUGAGCACGCGAAAGCCAGGGGAGCGGAACGGG
rnacentral:rRNA from 1 species